rnacentral:rRNA from 1 species
CGCCUGAAUACUGUGUGCAUGGAAUAAUGGAAUAGGACCUCGGUUCUAUUUUGUUGGUUUUCGGAACCCGAGGUAAUGAUUAAUAGGGACAGGCGGGGGCAUUCGUAUUGCGACGUUAGAGGUGAAAUUCUUGGAUCGUCGCAAGACGGACCGAAGCGAAAGCAUUUGCCAAGUAUGUUUUCAUUAAUCAAGAACGAAAGUUAGAGGUUCGAAGGCGAUCAGAUACCGCCCUAGUUCUAACCAUAAACGAUGCCAGCUAGCGAUCCGCCGAAGUUCCUCCGAUGACU